CUGCCUUUUUACUAACAUGUUUUUGCACUAUGGAACUGUGAUGCUGGAAACUUGAAAUUCCCUCAGGAUCAAUACAGUUACCAUCUAUUGUUAGUAUAAAGUUACUAUCUAGUAUAAAGUUACUAUCUAUCUAUGUAAGGUAACAUUUGUGUGGCAAGUAAACUCAAUUUACAACUUACUUUCAUUUAAAUAAGUUAUAACUGGAUGAAUUAAGUUUAACUUUAGUUAUAAAUGCUAUGCCAUGAGAGUGUAAAAUGGCCAAAACACAGUCUGUAACUGCAGAGAAGCAGAUUUAUGGCU